rnacentral:rRNA from 1 species
CCUGUAGUGGCAGCCGACAGCCAGCCGCGUGUAUGAAGAAGGCCUUCGGGUUGUAAAGUACUUUCAGCGGGGAAGGAAGGGAGUAAAGUUAAUACCUUUGCUCAUUGACGUUACCCGCAGAAGAAGCACCGGCUAACUCCGUGCCAGCAGCCGCGGUAAUACGGAGGGUGCAAGCGUUAAUCGGAAUUACUGGGCGUAAAGCGCACGCAGGCGGUUUGUUAAGUCAGAUGUGAAAUCCCCGGGCUCAACCUGGGAACUGCAUCUGAUACUGGCAAGCUUGAGUCUCGUAGAGGGGGGUAGAAUUCCAGGUGUAGCGGUGAAAUGCGUAGAGAUCUGGAGGAAUACCGGUGGCGAAGGCGGCCCCCUGGACGAAGACUGACGCUCAGGUGCGAAAGCGUGGGGAGCAAACAGGAUUAGAUACCCCCGGUAGAUU